UGUUGUGGUAAUGUUAUUUCAACCUGCUAGCUAGCAGAUAGAUUAUGCUAAUCUUAGCUGUGGUAAUGUCAUUUCUACCUGCUAGCGAGCUAAAUCUGGUUAAAACAUUAGGUAACAAAGUAAGAUUAAUUACUGUAGAUUAAUCACUGUAUUUUAGUGAUUGUUAAUGGUUAGUGGUUAUCUUUCAAAUGAUGCCUGUGAGGCACUUGACGUUGAGACUGGUUGACUUCCAGGCUGCUUUGGAAUAAGGAUACCUCUGAGGCAGCCACCAGUUUUUGGAUAACUCUGAGGCAUCAUAGGUAGUGUUGACUGCCAGGCUGCCUAGUCGUUGGUAUACAGGUUAACUCACAGGCAUCCAGUUGGUUUUAGAUACCUGUAAGGCAUCUAGACGGACAUUAAGAGGGGCUGACUCCCAGGCUGCUUACUAACACUGGUUAGCUCUCAGGCAGCCAAUUAGCUUUGGAUGCCUUUGAGGCACCUGACGUUGAGACUGGUUGACUUCCAGGCUGCUUUGGAAUAAGGAUACCUCUGAGGCAGCCACCAGUUUUUGGAUAACUCUGAGGCAUCAUAGGUAGUGUUGACUACUUUAUAUCAAUAAAGAACUACUUUAAAGACUUUAAAGACUACUUUAUAUCAAUAAAGAACUUCAGAAAGCCAGCUCCAAACUAUUACACCCCAGUGUCAAUAAGUGUUUCAUUGUCACAUUGGUAUGUGCAUCAAAUCUGAAUUUAAUACUGUGUUCGUGUCAUGAUAUGUCUUUCCCAUUUUUGUUAAGGCGACGCCAAGGACCUGUGCUCCUCCGUCGGUGCUCUGGCUGCCAGGAGCAUCGAAUUUAAAGAAGUGGCCAUGCUGCCGGCAUCAGACCCCACUGUGGCCACAGGGAGAGCCACGGAGUUCAAACAACAGCUCCAGCACCUCGCCAACCAGGUGAGGUCAAAUGAUCAAUUUGACCUCCUCACGCACACCUUGGGGCCAGGAAUGGUAGAGGUGGUGGUGGAUAUUUUUAAAAAGUGUGUUGACACACACAUUGAAAAUAUUAACAAUUAGCAAUUUGUUGUUUGUUGUGUUCAUUAAUUAAAUAUCUUCAUGUUCUACA